GUUUUUAUAGUUUAAAUAAAACAUUGGUCUUGUAAAUCAAAAUUAAGUAUAUAUN
rnacentral:tRNA from 1 species